ACGCUCGACACCUACGGGAGCAGCAGUGGGGAAUAUUGCACAAUGGAGGAAACUCUGAUGCAGCGAUGCCGCGUGAGGGAAGAAGGUUUUCGGAUUGUAAACCUCUGUCUUUGGGGACGAUAAUGACGGUACCCAAGGAGGAAGCUCCGGCUAACUACGUGCCAGCAGCCGCGGUAAUCUGAGCGGGCUGGCAAGGC
rnacentral:rRNA from 1 species